AGGGAGCGAUCUUCAUACAAAAUGUAACAAAAAACGAAACAAGUUAUAUGCACCAUGUGGUGAUUGCACGGUCAGUAAACAAGUCUUUCGGGUCUUGGAAAACUAAUGCACUACCCGUCAGAUAGGAUGGAGCCCACGGGCCGAAUGAGCGGGUGUGGGUGGCCCAUUAGCCGUAGCCGGACGAGACGAUACAAGUGGUAUCAGAGCUGAUUAGCCAUCUCGGUUCUGACCCGAGAGGCGUCUUGUGACCUUUCGUGGAGCAUAACGAGAACGUGGCGUUCUUUGAGAGAAGGUGAAUUGUAACAUUCCGGUUUGUGGUAUAUGUUGGAAGACUUAAGAGAAUUGAUUUGGCUACCCAUGUCGCCAAAGUGUGCUUACCUUUUCCGGCACACAUCCAUUUAGAACUCCAGAGCUAAGCGUGCUUGAACUGGAGUAGUAGCAGGAUGGGCACUACAAGAAAAAGGAGCUAUUGUUACGAUUUUUUGAGACUAGAUUUCUUAGUCACAUAUUUGUGACAUAACAUACACUGAUUUGUAACUG
rnacentral:lncRNA from 1 species